rnacentral:tRNA from 1 species
AAACUCAAAGAAAUCUAGCACCUCCUGACUUUCAAUCAGGAGGUCACAGGUUCGAAUCCUGUCGGGCUCACCA